GCACCUCAUUCACUGACCGAGUGAACAUUGUGGCAAGCAGAUCAUUCAAUCGGUCAUUCCAUUCAGUUCGUUCUCCUCCUCGCUUCUUCUCCGCAGGGCUGGCACUCCUUCGCAUGCGCCGAGGGCGAUUCACAUUCCGCAGCUAAGGUUCGCAGCGGACAACAUAGAUUGCAGCGCCGUCGUGAGUAGCGGGACGGCAGAUUGCAGAGAUUGUGCAACAAGCGACGACCAGAGAGACGAAGGGCGUCACUGAACUGAACUGGUGAACGAAUCUUUUGGUCGUUGGUGAAUGAGUUCAUUCAGUUCACACGACUGAGUCGUUCAGUCUGAACGAAUCAUUCACGACCGACACAUCACUAAUCGCGCAGCAAGAUGGCGGCUGUUUCCAGCAAGUGGAAAUUUCAGUUGUUGAGAUGCACCGCAUGUUACAGUGGGAUUGCAACAUACGUUAACUGUUUCGAACGAUGGGCAUCAUCUGCGGGAAGUUGUUGGAUGUUAUGACGUAUUGAGUUGGGCAACUCACGCGUCAACGUCCAAUAUUGCCGUGCUGCUUGUGCAUUUGGUGCAACAGGAAUACACACACAACGAAGAAAGAAUACCGGAGUGAAACGAAAGAGCUCAACUCACCACGGUGGAUCCGGACAGGAACAGCCAUGUCCGCUCACUACUGAGUGUCGGCUAUCACACGUGUCUCCAUAUAGAGGUUUCCUCAUAGCCGCCCUCUCAUACUCAAAAAAUGGGUGCAGAACCUGUGCAGAAAAGACUGGACACCAUCAAAGACCUCGGUGAUCUGCAGCAGGCAUUUUUAGGAAGACUGCUUUGACCGGACUGGGCAGACAGUGUGCCUUAAGACCGACGCAGUACCAACAAAGUUUGAUUUUCCACAGCACCUCCAAAAAGUAAAAGCUUAUGCAUCACAUCAAAAUUUUUUAAGCUAUUCUGGAUAGUGUGUGAUUGCUCUGCAUUAACUGUCAUAGAUGUGAACCACAUAUGUACAGUAGACUCUCAGUAAUUCAAACCAGCAGGGGACUGGUGAUCAUUGUGUUGAUUACUACACAUACACAUCUAAACAUGGGCCGCAAGGAAGAAUUAGGUCAUGGGAGCACAUUUGUCUGGUACAAAUUAGUGACCCACGUUGCUUACAUCUAAUGUUGGUUACCUUUAUGCUGCCACAAGUUUCCUUUUGGACCCCUGAAACGCUCUGUAAUCAUUUUAGCUGCAAUGGGAGUGUCCUCUCAGCAUCUCAACUGCUUGCAAAAUGUAAACAUCUUAAAAAAUGACACAGUUUUGAAGAUUUCACAUUCUGGAAAUUUGCAACAGCAGAGGCUGUCAGAGUGCGACCUACUGAAAGGUUUGUUUUACGGAAGCAGAUUUGUGGUAGCCAUUCCUUCAAAGUAGUCAUAUCUUAUAAAGGAAUGAAAAGCGUGAAAUUAGCACAAGUGCCGUUCGAAUUUUUAAUACACUGGACACAUAGCCUGCCAACCCAAAAUUUUGAACUUGUUUGAGCUACAGUAGUUUGAUCCCCUUUUGCAGGACACUUAAGUAACCAGACAAAAUAAACUGCCCACAAGUGUGAAUUAUCAGAGCUUACAUUAAUGAGAGCCCACUAUACAGAGAUCAGCAUAUAUGGAUAAAUAAAAGGGUGGUGUUUGCGCGUCAUUACUCAUUCCAAUGUCAAAUUGGAUUCAGUAGUUUUGCAUAGCGCCCCCAUACGUCAUCAUUUUUGAAAUAAAAGUAUUGUCUCCUUACACAUUCCCUGUACCUUCAAAAUGCAUAAUGACAAUAAAUAACUGCUGAAC